UUGCUCUGCCAGUUUUUACACCACGGACACUCGACAAUGACAUAAUAUUUGCAGAAAAUGAUUAAUAAAUGAUAAAUAAAUUUUUAGAGUGAUUUUGGAUAAUUCCUCUGCCGCGGCAGAGUGGUUGAAAAUCACUCUUCUAGGACAAACACCAUUAUUAUUCGGGGCUUUGUUACAUAAGUGACAGGUUGGAAUGUCAUUACACUGGACACGGGGUAGGAUGAACAUGGCGCACUACAGCUGCCAAGAGAAGAGGAGAGCUUGGAGAAGAGUCACAGAGGCAGGCGUGAUGGGAAUAUUAAAGAGAAAGGUUGCUCACCCCCAGGCUAGUCAGCGGUCUUUGGUAUCAUUGAAGGCAACAACAAGUGUGGCAUACCCCAGAGAAAAUGGCAAGAUGACAUCAACGAAUGGUGCCAGAAGAGCAUAUGGCAACCCGAGACCAUUGACGUCGACAGAGACAAGUGGCCAAAAUUUGUAUUGACCUAUGGAUAUUAAUCCUGCAGGAAGCAACGGACUGGAACCACGCCUUGACAUAUUUUCCCCAUUAAACUGAUUCACGAGGGAUCAGCCUACAGUGUGUGGUCAUAGAUAGAAGCCGUUAGAAGGAAGACCACCCAUUUGGGCUAACUCAGGUACAGUAUGUGCAACUUGUGCAUGAGUGCAGAGUUUGGACUCACCUCGCACAUCUGCAGCUGAAAGGUCCUUCUCUCCCUUUCCAUGUCCUCCCCUCCGUCCGAUGCCUCCGUCCUGAUCAACUUGCCCUUCUCCUUGCGCUCCUUCUCCAGCUUGGCUCUAAACAUUUAUUUGUGCUUUAACAUAACACAAAGCUAACCAUUGCAGUAAAAUGUCAUAUGGUUAAUUACAUCUUUAAGUCGUACUCCUUCCAACUUCUCUCCAUCUGUUUCUUCAGUUCCUGAGCAUAACACACAUGAAAAACACAACGUGAGUUAAUCAGGGAUAUUUUACAACACAGCACUGUCUUGUUUAUCACGGUUAUGGCUUCAGACCCGACCGUGAUAAGUAUAUUUCGCCGAGGUAGGAUUUCUUAUUCCUUAUUGAUAAAUGGAAUACACUCUAAAUACAUUUUUUAUCAUUAUUAUAGCCUUCUAGACAUGAAAUAACACACUCUAAGUCGCCUUUAAACUUGAAUUACAAAAUACAAUAGACAUUAUUAGAA